rnacentral:rRNA from 1 species
CAGGAGUAGAUACCCCAAUAGUCCACGCCGUAAACGUUGGGAGCUAGACGCCGGGGCCGUUGGACGUUUGCGUGUCGCAGUUAACGCAUUAAGUUCCCCGCCUGGGGAGUACGGCCGCAAGGCUAAAACUCAAAGGAAUUGACGGGGGCCCGCACAAGCGGCGGAGCAUGCGGAUUAAUUCGAUGCAACGCGAAGAACCUUACCAAGGCUUGACAUAUACGAGAACGCUGCAGAAAUGUAGAACUCUUUGGACACUCGUAUACAGGUGGUGCAUGGUUGUCGUCAGCUCGUGUCGUGAGAUGUUGGGUUAAGUCCCGCAACGAGCGCAACCCUCGUUCUAUGUUGCCAGCACGUAAUGGUGGGAACUCAUAGGAGACUGCCGGGGUCAACUCGGAGGAAGGUGGGGAUGACGUCAAAUCAUCAUGCCCCUUAUGUCUUGGGCUUCACGCAUGCUACAAUGGCCGGUACAAAGGGCUGCAAUACCGUAAGGUGGAGCGAAUCCCAAAAAGCCGGUCUCAGUUCGGAUUGAGGUCUGCAACUCGACCUCAUGAAGUCGGAGUCGCUAGUAAUCGUGGAUCAGCAACGCCACGGUGAAUACGUUCCCGGGCCUUGUACACACCGCCCGUCAAGUCAUGAAAGUCGGUAACACCCGAAGCCGGUGGCCCAACCCGUAAGGGAGGGAGCUUCGAAGGUGCACUACAUAAUUGC